rnacentral:lncRNA from 1 species
CCAUGGUUUAAGUAAUACUUUAUAAAUGGCACAUUUCUUGCUAUUAAAAGAAAACUUUAGCCAAAUUAAAUUUAACAGAGUUUAAUUGAGCAAAGAACCAUUCAAGAAUUCGGCAGCCUUCUGAGCCAGAGUAGGCCCAGAGACUCCAGCACAGCCACGUGCAGGAAGAUUUAUGGACUGAAAAAGGAAAGUGACAUACAGAAAACGAAAGUGAGGUACAGAAAUAGCCGAAUUGGUUACAGCUUGGCAUCUGCCUUAUUUUAACACAGUUUGAACAGUUGGCCACCUUUGACCACAACUCAGUAACUGGCUCAAGAGUAGGCUAGAGUCUAACUCCCUUUAGGUUAUAGUUCACCAUGUACAGAGAAACCUGGAGGCUGAACUUAAAGUAUGUAAGGAGGCAGCUUUAGGCUAAACUUGAUUUAACAUUGCUAAAAUUUAGAAGACAUAAAUUUAAAAACUGAAGUAGAGGGCUAGGCGCGGUGGCUCACACCUGUAAUCCCAGCAUUUUGGGAGGCCAAGGCGGGCAGAUCACGAGGUCAGGAGUUCGAGACCAGCCUGGCCAUUAUGGUGAAACCCAAUCUCUACUAAAAAUACAAAAAUUAGCUGGAUGUGGUGGUGCAUGCCUAUAGUCCCAGCUACUCGGGAGGCUGAGGCAGGAGAAUUGCUUGAACCCGGCAGGCGGAGGUUGCAGUAAGCAGAGAUCGUGCCAUUGCACUCCAGCCUGGACGACAGAGCAAGACUCCAUCUCAAAACAAAACAGAACAAAACAAAAAAGCAAAAACUGAAGUAGAAUCAAUAUAAUAUACUAAUAAUCAUUAAAGGGUUAAUUAAAAGAGUACUUAGGGAAUACCUGAUGGCUGACUUGUUCUUCCUAGAAUUCCUCACAAGAUAUAGAGAUUAUAUAUGUCCAUCUGCAGAGAGGAGAACUAAAUCUAAUGGGGGCCAUCCCAGCAAGGCAGAAUUUUAUUCAAGGCCCAAAAAGCUCUCUAGUGAGCCGUCCAAAAGUGGGGUAAGCUACUUUGUGAUUUUCCUGGUGUUGAAAAUGUUUAAGAAAAGGCUAUAGUUUAUACAGCCACCCAUCCAGCACGAAUAGAGAUAAUUCAUACAAGUGUGAGAAGAUCCAGUGGUAUGUUUGAAUCCAG